CACUUAGCGUAAGCUAGGUAUACUAAUUUAUUAGUAAGCGAACGAGGGGAAGUGAAACAUCUCAGUACCCUUAGGAAAAGACAUCAAUAGAGAUUCCCCUAGUAGCGGCGAGCGAACGGGGAGGAGCCGACGGAUUUAUAUGUAGAAGAACAGUGUGGGAAAACUGGCCAUAGUGGGUGAUAGCCCCGUAUUCGAAACAUAUAAUGAAGCAUAUUAAGUAGUGCGGAACACGAGAAAUUCUGUAUGAAGAUGGGGGGACCAUCCUCCAAGGCUAAAUACUCCUGACUGACCGAUAGUGAACCAGUACCGUGAGGGAAAGGCGAAAAGAACCCCUGUGAGGGGAGUGAAAUAGAACCUGAAACCGUGUGCGUACAAGCAGUGGGAGCCCACUUGUUGGGUGACCGCGUACCUUUUGUAUAAUGGGUCAGCGACUUAUAUUCUGUAGCAAGGUUAACCGUUAGGGGAGCCGUAGGGAAACCGAGUCUUAAUAGGGCGUUUAGUUGCAGGGUAUAGACCCGAAACCGAGUGAUCUAUCCAUGAGCAGGUUGAAAGUGCCGUAACAGGCACCGGAGGACCGAACCCACUGUCGUUGAAAAGCCAGGGGAUGACUUGUGGAUAGGGGUGAAAGGCUAAUCAAACUCGGUGAUAGCUGGUUCUCCCCGAAAGCUAUUUAGGUAGCGCCUCRGACGAACACCAUUGGGGGUAGAGCACUGUUUCGGCUAGGGGGUCAUACCGACUUACCAAACCGAUGCAAACUCCGAAUACCGAUGAGUGAUAUCCGGGAGACACACGGCGGGUGCUAACGUCCGUCGUGGAGAGGGAAACAACCCAGACCGCCAGCUAAGGCCCCAAAUUCCUAGUUAAGUGGGAAACGAAGUGGGAAGGCAUAGACAGCUAGGAGGUUGGCUUAGAAGCAGCCAUCCUUUAAAGAAAGCGUAAUAGCUCACUAGUCGAGUCGGCCCGCGCGGAAGAUGUAACGGGGCUCAAACUAGGAGCCGAAGCUGCGGAUUUGAAAAUUGUUUCAAGUGGUAGGGGAGCGUUGUGUAAGCCUGUGAAGGUGURUCGUAAGGYAUGCUGGAGGUAUCACAAGAGCGAAUGCUGACGUGAGUAACGAUAAUGCGAGUGAAAAGCUCGCACGCCGGAAGAUCAAGGGUUCCAGUCCAACGUUAAUCGGGGCUGGGUGAGUCGACCCCUAAGGCGAGGCCGAAAGGCGUAGUCGAUGGGAAAUCGGUUAAUAUUCCGAUACUUGUUUAUGAUGUGAUGGAGGGACGGAGAAGGUUAUGCCAGCCUGGCGAUGGUUGUCCAGGUGGAAGGAUGUAGGUAGACGGCUUAGGCAAAUCCGGGCUGUUAAUACUGAGAUCUGAUAGCAAGCUGUACUUGUACAGCGAAGUGGCAAAUACCAUGCUUCCAGGAAAAGCUUCUAAACUAUAGUCAUAAACGAAUCGUACCCUAAACCGACACAGGUGAUCAGGUAGAGAAUACCAAGGCGCUUGAGAGAACUCUGCUGAAGGAACUAGGCAAAAUGGUACCGUAACUUCGGGAGAAGGUACGCUGUCGAUGGUGAAGCCCUUUGCGGUGUAAGCUAUUGACAGUCGCAGAUACCAGGCUGCUGCAACUGUUUAUUAAAAACACAGCACUCUGCAAACACGAAAGUGGACGUAUAGGGUGUGAUGCCUGCCCGGUGCUGGAAGGUUAAUUGAUGGGCUUAGCGUAUGCGAAGGUCUUGAUCGAAGCCCCAGUAAACGGCGGCCGUAACUAUAACGGUCCUAAGGUAGCGAAAUUCCUUGUCGGGUAAGUUCCGACCUGCACGAAUGGCAUAAUGAUGGCAGCGCUGUCUCCAGCAGAGACUCAGUGAAAUCGAAAUCGCAGUGAAGAUGCUGUGUACCCGCGGCUAGACGGAAAGACCCCGUGAACCUUUACUACAGCUUUACAUUGAACUUUGACCUGACUUGUGCAGGAUAGGUGGGAGGCUUUGAAGCAGAUACGCCAGUAUYUGUGGAGCCAWCCUUGAAAUACCACCCUGGUCAUGUUGGGGUUCUAACUCAGGUAUAACAAUACCGAGGACAAUGUAUGGUGGGU
rnacentral:rRNA from 1 species